AGUUAUCAAAAACUACGUGGUAUUCUGGACUGAUGAAACAACGUCUAAGGUCUCUUGUGCCUGAUUCACUAAUAUCACGUCUACAGAAACUGGAUUCCAAGCUGUUUCAAAGGAAAAUGGGUCCAGAUAUGUUGAAUUUGAAUUUCAUGUUGACUAUGAAGGAGAUGGAACUUAUCAUAUUAGGAAAUCAGACGAUGAAUUUAUUCACCUCGAGCACGGAGAGGAAAUGAACGGACUUGCGAAUGAAGCGGUGUCAA